UGGGGAAUAUUGCACAAUGGGCGCAAGCCUGAUGCAGCCAUGCCGCGUGUAUGAAGAAGGCCUUCGGGUUGUAAAGUACUUUCAGCGGGGAGGAAGGCGAUAAGGUUAAUAACCUUGUCGAUUGACGUUACCCGCAGAAGAAGCACCGGCUAACUCCGUGCCAGCAGCCGCGGUAAUACUGAGGGUGCAAGCGUUAAUCGGAAUUACUGGGCGUAAAGCGCACGCAGGCGGUCUGUCAAGUCGGAUGUGAAAUCCCCGGGCUCAACCUGGGAACUGCAUUCGAAACUGGCAGGCUAGAGUCUUGUAGAGGGGGGUAGAAUUCCAGGUGUAGCGGUGAAAUGCGUAGAGAUCUGGAGGAAUACCGGUGGCGAAGGCGGCCCCCUGGACAAAGACUGACGCUCAGGUGCGAAAGCGUGGGGAGCAAACA
rnacentral:rRNA from 1 species